rnacentral:rRNA from 1 species
GAUGGACGCUGGCGGCGUGCCUAAUACAUGCAAGUCGAGCGAACAGACGAGGAGCUUGCUCCUCUGACGUUAGCGGCGGACGGGGGAGUAACACGUGGAUAACCUACCUAUAAGACUGGGAUAACUUCGGGAAACCGGAGCUAAUACCGGAUAAUAUAUUGAACCGCAUGGUUCAAUAGUGAAAGACGGUUUUGCUGUCACUUAUAGAUGGAUCCGCACCGCAUUAGCUAGUUGGUAAGGUAACGGCUUACCAAGGCAACGAUGCGUAGCCGACCUGAGAGGGUGAUCGGCCACACUGGAACUGAGACACGGUCCAGACUCCUACGGGAGGCAGCAGUAGGGAAUCUUCCGCAAUGGGCGAAAGCCUGACGGAGCAACGCCGCGUGAGUGAUGAAGGUCUUCGGAUCGUAAAACUCUGUUAUUAGGGAAGAACAAAUGUGUAAGUAACUAUGCACGUCUUGACGGUACCUAAUCAGAAAGCCACGGCUAACUACGUG